CUUUAAUCAAGGUGAUGCGUCCUGCCAGAGACAACGAUCUUUUCUUCCAUCCCCCGAUUUUCUUUGCCACUUUGUCCACCAGGAAAUUCCAAUCAACUGAACAGUUCUGUCUACUUCCGACUUUAAUUCCAAGAUAGCUGAAAGGGAAUGAUCCUUCCUUGCAUUUAAGAGCCAUCGCCCACAUCUUAACUUUAUCAUCGAGCACUCCCAUUCCCAUGAGCCUACUCUUUUCAAAGUUCACCGCCAAUCCCGAUAGAAACUGAAAGAGCAGGAGAGUAUUCCUCAAUGCAUUCAGAUUUCUGUCAUCCA
rnacentral:lncRNA from 1 species